GACGAACGCUGGCGGCGUGCUUAACACAUGCCAGUCGAACGCUGAAGCUCAGCUUUUGUUGGGUGGAUGAGUGGCGAACGGGUGAGUAACACGUGAGUAACCUGCCUCCUUCUUUGGGAUAACGCCCGGAAACGGGUGCUAAUACUGGAUAUUCACUGGUCUUCGCAUGGGGGUUGGUGGAAAGGGUUUUUCUGGUGGGGGAUGGGCUCGCGGCCUAUCAGCUUGUUGGUGGGGUGAUGGCCUACCAAGGCUUUGACGGGUAGCCGGCCUGAGAGGGUGCCCGGUCACAUUGGGGCUGAGAUACGGCCCAGACUCCGACGGGAGGCAGCAGUGGGGAAUAUUGCACAAUGGGCGCAAGCCUGAUGCAGCGACGCCGCGUGAGGGAUGGAGGCCUUCGGGUUGUGAACCUCUCUCGCUCAUGGUCAAGCCGCAACAAUGGUUGUGGUGAGGGUAGUGGGUAAAGAAGCGCCGGCUAACUACGUG
rnacentral:rRNA from 1 species